rnacentral:lncRNA from 1 species
CUCCCCAAAAAAAGACCUUUCCCGGGAAGAUCAUCAAGGAUAUGCUCCAUAAGAACAAGGUGGUAAUCCAAAAAAGGGGAAACAUGGGAUCAAGAAAAAAAGAACACAAGACAGCAGUAAAGGGAAUUCCCAAAUGAGAUCCGUCUCAGAGCAGUGCCAAAUCAAAGAAACAUUCACAAUCAAAAUGCUACCUGCUCCCCAGUGCCACUCCACUGAAUCCUUGCAGAGGCAGCACAGUCCCGAGUAUGGUACUAAUAUCGAGAUGGAUAAGGCUCAUCACAGCUCAAGAUUAACUAUAAAUUCCUAAUGUGUUCAGGUAAGAUGCAUCUCUACCUCCCGGCAGACAAAGAGGCAAACACAAUGAUCCAUGAAAGAAAGAAACAGAGAUGCUGCCCAAGUGAAAUGAGCCUUGAUAUGUCACCUUCCUCACCUUGUGUUUUUGUAGCCAUACCUCCAGACUUCCAGAUCUCUGCCUGAGGUUUACUGAUGGUUUCUUUCAGGGAUCAUUAAAAGUGAUUCGUGGGCUGGCAA